UUCAUUGAUAUUUGAAUCAGCGUACAUCAAAACCUUACUAGUUACAGCGAGUUAAAUGACAACACGAGGAACAAAAAGACAAAUUCAGAAGCCUAGCAUUGGCAUAUAAUAAAUACAUGCAAAAUAUUGGCUGUUAUUGUUAUGUUCUAUAAGAUAACUGGCAUGCUCUCUUAAAUGAGUCAAUAUCAUGAAAAAAAAGGUGGGGGUGUUAGGGUGGCUGGGAGCUAUUCUAACCUUUAGACAGAUAAGACAGAAGAAUCAGAUGUACUGUGUGGUCGCUGACUGAAUCCUGGCUUAAGCAAAACAAUUUUUAAGACACAUGGGAGAUAAUUAGAAAACCUUGAUUAUAGGCACAGUGUUAGAUAAUAUUAGGGAACUGUCAUAAGUUUUGUUAGAUAUAAUCAUGGUGAUCUGAUUAUAUGGGAAAAUACUAUUUUUCACACUGAAAUAUUUAGGGGUAAAGUAUGAUAUAUUUAAUUUAUUUAAAAAUACUUCAGUAAACCAAUAAAAGCUAAACUGUCAAUAAUUAUAACAUGUAGGUAUUGGUUAAUGGGUAUUGUUAUUAGGAAUUGGUACUUUUUCUUUGCUUAAAAAUUUUCAUAGUAAAGUCAAAAUCAAUUAAAAUAGAGUACAAAAACAAACAAAACCUUUCCAAUCAAUCCAAGUCUUUCCUAUGUUUUGGGUUGUUCUAAAUAAGAAUGCUUUAAAUGACUUGAAAAUUUGUUUCUCUAAAAUAUGUUAAAAUUACGUUCUUGUAAGUGUGGAUUAAACAUUCCCUUUGCAAUUUUAUACUGUUAAUUGGCUUAAUAUGGCCUUUUGUCAUCAGAUGAACUUCAGCAAAUCAGUACACAAUUUUCAAAUACAUUAUUAAGGAACAGAACCUGAAGUCAUGAAACGAUAAUAAAGAGAAGUGUUAAGAUUACAUUUUUCUAUUAAUUAAAUGUGUUUCUUUUUAUAGUUUUUCAUAGGGUGGAAUUGAGUAUAUUAUGAAGAAAGAUCAUCUUUGAUCUAAAGUUGCAAUUUGAUUAGCAAAAUCUAUUAGCACUUGGCCGCAUGGUGGCUCACGCCGAUAAUCCCCACACUUUGAGAGGCCGAGGCGGGUGGAUCAGGAGUUUGAGAGCAGCCUGGCCCACAUGGUGAAACCCCAUCUUUACUAAAAAUACAAAAAUUAGCCAGGCGUGGUGGUGCACGCCUUUAAUCCCAGCUACUGGGGAGGCUGAGGCAGGAGAAUUGCUUGAGCCCUGGAGGCGGAGGUUGCAGGGAGCCAAGAUUGCACCAUUGCACUUCAGCCUGGGCAACAAGAGCGAAACUCAAAAAAAAAAAAAAAUCUAUUGGCACUUUAUUUUUUUAAUUUAAUUUUUUGUAGAGACAGGGUUUGGCUAUGUUGCUCAGGUUGGUCUCAAACUCCUGGCCUCAAGCAAUCCUCCUGACUCUGCCUUCCAAAGUGCUAGGAUUACAGACGUGAGCCACCACAUCCAGCUUUAGGCACUUUCACAGGAAUGCUAGUCCCACAUAGGACUGAAAACUUUGGAGGUGUGGAAUGGCUCACUGACCGCAUUUCUUUUGACUCCUCUCCUCAUAUCUGACAUGACUGAGCAUUGUGCAGGAUAUUUUAAAAGAACUCAUUCUUACUGGAUAAUAGGGAGAGUUUUUCUUUUUUCUUUUUCUUUCCUUGUUUUUUUUCUUUUGUUUUUCUUUUUUUUUGAUAGUGUAUAAAAACUGCCAGGGCACUUAGAAAAGGUAGAGGGCAUCUAGAAGAGAAAUUAAUCACUAGCUUUUUUUUUUUUUUUAAAGAAUAUCCUACCUAUGUAUUAUGGAGAAAUAAUAGGUAACGAAUGGAAGAAAAUGCAAUCUAUAUAACCAGUGCAACUCAUCAUAGCGUUGUGAGGGUAAAGCAAGAAAAUCCAUGUAAGAUGCUUAGCACAAUGCCUGGCAUAUAAUAAACACAUGCAAAAUAUUGGCUAUUAUUAUUAUCAUUAUCCCAAGAUAGUUCCUAAGAAAGUUAGUUUUAUAUAUCUUAGUGAAAAGUAAAUACUUUCACCUACAAACAGUAGAGCAUCUUAAAUCUUCAUGUGUUAGUUCUAGAAGUUUUCCAGGUAUUAAGUAGAAGGAUAAUGAUGGGGCUACAAAUUAGUUUCAAGAUCACUUCUAACUGCUUAAUAUUUUGUUUCAGCUGGAAAGAAAGGUUAAAGGAGACUGAAUUUGGCCUAGUUUUGCAUGAUAAUGCUGUGGUUUAGACACAGAGGUGACAUGUGGCUGGUGAAAUUAAAGUGCAUAAAGCAGGCUCUCUUUUCCUUUCCAUAGGUAGGAUUCUUCUAAGAGCAUACACUAAACAGUGUUCCUGCUGUUUUCAGUUUCUUCUUUAACAGCCUAAAAUUUUCAAAGCAAAACAGGCUCUAUAGGAUUUUUUUCCCUCUCUUUUUCUGAAAGGGUGAUUCAGCUGGCUAAGUGGGAAGGAACAAGAAAAGAGGAUAAAGAGACAUUUAGUAUAAGCAAACAGAGCCUAGGACUGCUUUGGAAGUUCUGUAUAAAUCUAUAAAGCUCCCUGUCACCCUAUUAUGUCUCCAACAAGCAACACUGGAGAUAUAAACAAACAAACACAAAAACACUUCACUGUUUCUGGUUACCAGUGUCUGUGAAGUCUACCUUUUUAGUUGCACUUUUCUUGGUUCUUCCAUUUUUUCAAUUAGAAGGAGAACAGCUUAAUAUGUCACUGGGUAAACAA
rnacentral:lncRNA from 1 species